rnacentral:rRNA from 1 species
CGGGGAGGUAGUGACGAAAAAUAACGAUACGGGACUCAUCCGAGGCCCCGUAAUCGGAAUGAGAACACAUUAAAUCCUUUAACGAGGACCAAUUGGAGGGCAAGUCUGGUGCCAGCAGCCGCGGUAAUUCCAGCUCCAAUAGCGUAUAUUAAAGUUGUUGCGGUUAAAAAGCUCGUAGUUGAAUCUGUGUGUCACAGUGUCGGUUCACCGCUCGCGGUGUUUAACUGGCAUUAUGUGGUACGUCCUACCGGCGGGCUUAGCUCCAAGUGAGCGGUCCAAUUAAUAUCCAUCGCGGUGCUCUUUACUGAGUGUCGAGGUGGGCCGGUACGUUUACUUUGAAGAAAUUAGAGUGUUCAAAGCAGGCUCAUUUGCCUGAAUACUGUGUGCAUGGAAUAAUGGAAUAGGACCUCGGUUCUAUUUUGUUGGUUUUCGGAACCCCGAGGUAAUGAUUAAGAGGGACAGAUGGGGGCAUUCGUAUUGCGACGUUAGAGGUGAAAUUCUUGGAUCGUCGCAAGACGUACAGAAGCGAAAGCAUUUGCCAAAAAUGUUUUCAUUAAUCAAGAACGAAAGUUAGAGGUUCGAAGGCGAUCAGAUACCGCCCUAGUUCUAACCAUAAACGAUGCCAGCCAGCGAUCCGCCGAAGUUCCUCCGAUGACUCGGCGGGCAGCCUCCGGGAAACCAAAGCUUUUGGGUUCCGGGGGAAGUAUGGUUGCAAAGCUGAAACUUAAAGGAAUUGACGGAAGGGCACCACCAGGAGUGGAGCCUGCGGCUUAAUUUGACUC